rnacentral:rRNA from 1 species
UACGUAGGGUGCAAGCGUUAAUCGGAAUUACUGGGCGUAAAGCGUGCGCAGGCGGUUCGCUGUGUCCGAUGUGAAAGCCCCGGGCUCAACCUGGGAAUGGCAUGGGAAACUGGCGGGCUGGAGUGUGGCAGAGGGGGGUGGAAUUCCGCGUGUAGCAGUGAAAUGCGUAGAGAUGCGGAGGAACACCGAUGGCGAAGGCAGCCCCCUGGGCCAACACUGACGCUCAGGCACGAAAGCGUGGGGAGCAAACAGG